CAGUCGAACGGCAGCACAGAGGAGCUUGCUCCUUGGGUGGCGAGUGGCGGACGGGUGAGGAAUACAUCGGAAUCUACUCUGUCGUGGGGGAUAACGUAGGGAAACUUACGCUAAUACCGCAUACGACCUACGGGUGAAAGCAGGGGAUCUUCGGACCUUGCGCGAUUGAAUGAGCCGAUGUCGGAUUAGCUAGUUGGCGGGGUAAAGGCCCACCAAGGCGACGAUCCGUAGCUGGUCUGAGAGGAUGAUCAGCCACACUGGAACUGAGACACGGUCCAGACUCCUACGGGAGGCAGCAGUGGGGAAUAUUGGACAAUGGGCGCAAGCCUGAUCCAGCCAUACCGCGUGGGUGAAGAAGGCCUUCGGGUUGUAAAGCCCUUUUGUUGGGAAAGAAAUCCAGCUGGCUAAUACCCGGUUGGGAUGACGGUACCCAAAGAAUAAGCACCGGCUAACUUCGUGCCAGCAGCCGCGGUAAU
rnacentral:rRNA from 1 species